rnacentral:lncRNA from 1 species
AUUUCACUAUACCUUCAAAAAAUGCUAUGUUAUUUCAAGUGUAGUAUAAGGACUUUCUAACAGUAUUUUCCUAAUUCUUUUCACUUAUCCCUGCUACCACUGCUAUUACACAUUUCAUUUUUUUGACCAUGCCCACAACAUGUGAAAGUUCCCUGGGCCAGGGAUGGAACCCAUGCUACAACAGUAACCUGAACCAUUGCACUGACAAUGCUGGAUCCUUAACCUGCUGCAGCACAAGGGAACUCCCUCAUUUUUGAAUAUGUAAUGAAAACAGUGCAUCAUCAAAUUACUAUUUUAUGAUCCAGCUAAUUAUUUUUGGAGGGUUUAAGAAAAAAAAAUAUAUUUUUACUAUUUUCACUACAUAUACCUGAGUUUCAGAACUUUCAUAUUUUUCUUAUUGAUCAUUUCUUGUAGAGUAAAUUAACUGGAAAUCAACUUUUAAUUUGUCUGAGAAAGUCUUUGUUCCUUUUAUUAUGCAUUUUUUUAUUUGAGUUCUAAUUGAGGUACACUAAAUUACAUACAUUUAUAGUGUGCAGUUGUAUUAAUUUUUUCAUAUGUCUGUACUUAUAAAACCAUCACCACACUCUUACGUCCCUUUUUAAAUUUACAGCUUUUAUUCCCCUCUUUUGCAUUUUACCUGCAGUUUAUUUAUAGAAGAAAUCAAGUUUUUUGCUAUGUAGAGUUUCCACAGUCUGUCUUAUGAUAACUGCACUACUGAUGUGGCAUUUAACAUAUUCCUUUGUUUUCUGUAUUUCCUUUACAUUGGUAGUUGAAACUAGAUAUGCAAUUGGAUUCGGUCUUGAUUGUUUGCAAGGGAGUAGGCAAGGCCACUUACUGAUAGAUUGCCUUCUGCAGUAGUAGCCCUUAAUUUUAUGUAGUGAGAUUUCACCAGGAGUUGUCAUUCUUCUUAGUGUUUCAUUGAAUGUUUAUUCCAAGUAUAGACUUCUGGAAGAAUAGUAUUUUUAUUUCAGAAUUUUAUACUUGUCACUUUAUUUUCUAUCUGUUUGCUCAAGUUUUGAUGAGAUAGAUGUCUGUCAUAAUUUUUGCCAUUUUUUUUUCUCUAUAGGGAAUGUAUCCAUUUUCCUCUCAUAGUUUUCAAGAUUGUCUUUGUGCUUUUCAGUAUGUUGAACAUAACACAUCUAUGCAUUCUCACUCUACCAUUUUAUAUAGGGGACUUGAGCCCGUGGCAUAUGGAGGUUCCCAGACUAGGGUUCUAGUCAGAGCUGUUGCUGCAGGCCAGCAACACCAGAUCCAAGCCACAUCUGCGACCUACACCACAGCUCACUGCAACGCCAGCGAGGCCAGGGAACAAACCCGCAACCUCAUGGUUUCUAGUUAGAUUCGUUUCCACUGAGCCACGAUAGGACCUCCUCUUCAAAUAUUUCUUUUGCCCUGUUGUCUCUCUCUUCUGUUACAUGUAUGUUUGAACUUUUAUUCUAUUUUAUUUUAUUUUUUUGUCUUUUUGCCUUUUCUAGGGCUGCUUCCACGGCAUGUGGAGGUUCCAAGGCUAGGGAUGUAAUUGGAGCUGUAGCCGCCAGCCUACACCAGAGCCACACACAGCAACAUGGGAUUUGAGCCUCGUUUGCAACCUACACCACAGCUCACAGCAAUGCUGGAUCCUUAACCCACUGAGCAAGGCCAGGAAUUGAACCCGCAACCUCAUGGUUCCUAGUCAGAUUUGUUAACCACUGAGCCAUGACGGGAACUCCUGUUUGACCUUUUACUAUCCCAUAGCUGUUAGAUGUUCUGUAAUGCUUUUAUUUUUAUUUUUUUUCUCCUUUCAUCUCAGUUUGGAUAAUUUCUAUUGACUUCAAUUUCACUGACUUGUCUGCAUCAUGUACUGAUUCUUCAUCUAAUCUUUGUUACUGUGUUUUCUUUGUUUCUAAUAUUUCCAUUUGAUUCUUUCUCAUGGCUUUUCUCAACUACCUAUCUGUUCAGUCAUAUUAUCUAAUUUUUUACUAGAAACUUUAAUAUGUCAAACAUAUUUAAAUACUAUUUCCUGUCUAAUAGUGACCUCUUUACAAUAUUUGAAGCUAGUUCCAAUGACUGCUUUGUCCCUUGAGACUGUGUUAGAUCUUUCUGGGUUCCUUAUUUUUGUUGAAAAAAGGGCAGGUUUUGUACGAUGUCAGAUAUUGAGAUAAGUGAUUUUUGAAAUUUGUCUCUUCAAGGUCUUCAAUGUGUUGGUUUAUAUUAAUGUCCUCAGAUGCUGGGCUGGUGCUGUACUCUCCUUACUUCUAUGGCUUUUUCAGUGCACCAGAGGCUUCAAGUAAUAACUUUUCUUGCAAUAACUUGUGUUUAAGGAAUAGUAUAAAUUGCUAGAGGUUUUUCUGAGGUCUGACAAUUUUUGGCUUUGAGUAUAUCUAUCUGUUGGUUCAGGGUCUUUGUUUACUUACUCAUCUUAUUGGUUUAUCUGACAUUUGGAAACUUGUGUCUCAGGUAAGCAAAUGCCUGGAUAUUACUGCUCUCUUCAGUCACCUGUUUUUCUUUAGUUUGUGAAUUGGUUGUUGACCCAGCAAUCUCAGUGUCCUCAUGAAAAGUAGUUAUAGUUUUCAGCUGUUGUUGUCAGUGUAGAAUUGAUACUCUCUACUCCCAACACUUCUGAGUAAAAUCUAAAAGUCUCCUAUAGAACUAUUUUGAAAGAAAUUUUACAGGAAGCCGUGUGCUAGAAUUAAAAAUGCUUGUAUUCAGAAUCCACAUAGUUGGCUCAAGUUCCAAAGCUUCCUUUUACUUGUACAUGUAUCUCUACAUAGAUAACUUGACUUUUGAUCAACACCAAGAGGAAACUGAUACCAACCUUGUAGAGAGAUUGUGAGACUUAAAUGAGUAUGUGCAAUAUGAAGAUCCUAGGGCAAAAAAAGGGGAUCCAUUAAAUACUUCUUUCUCUUCUCUUGCUCUGGAAAAGUUUUAACUUCUAAUGGUUUGUGUUUCUGGGCCCUAAUUAAAUUCUGAAUUUUCUGAGAGUAGGUACCUUUUCUUGUUUAGAUUAGACACAUCAAGUUCUUGCUUAGAGCUUGGAAUAUAAUUUUUGCUGAAAAAAUAUUUUAUUCAGAUUUGUCUAAAGCUAAGUAGUAUGUAGCACUGGGAAAAAAUUUAUUAAAAGUAUUUUAGGUGUUAAAAGCUCCUGCAAAAGGAUCAUAACAUAAAUGGUCAGGAAAUUCAUGCCCAGAAGGGUGAAUCAUCUCUCAGAAGUCAAUUUCCUAUCUGGAGAACUUUAGGGAAUGAUAAGUAGAAAACACAGGUUUUGUUGUUAGAUAACCUUGGUUUUUAUCUUGAUUUCUCUAAGCCUUAUGAAUUUAGGCAUAUUAGUUAACCUCCCUAUGGUUUCAGUUUUUCUUGUCUAUACUUCACAGAAUUUUGAGAAUUCGAAAUAACUUAUGUAAAGUUUUUGGCACACAGUAAUGCUUAAUUAAUAUGUCACUCUUAGCUUUUACAUAAAAUCUCAUCCUGAGGGAAUCAUAUUCUUUUAGUAGAAAGGAUUUUCCAUGGUUUAUAUUUAAAAAAAAAAUUCUAUGUAUAAAAGGAACUUUAUUUUCAGAAAGUAGGAAAAGAUAUCUGUCUUAACUCAUAGAAAAUUGGUUCUGUGGAGAAUGUGAAUUCUUUUAAAAUCAUGUUUCCUGGGCCAAUAAUCAGGGUGCUAAAACAAUUGUGCUGAAAAAUUUAUAACUGCAAAGGCCAGUUUAGAAAACAUAAGCAAAUAUGACUAUUUCUAUCUGUAAAUUUUAAAGAUAAAUAUUAAACUUAUGCUUAAUUAUAGUAGUUGGAAGAAUGUAUCAAAUGAUCACUCCACACUUCCUAGCUAAAGUUCUGCUUGAAAGACAUAAAAAAUUUUAAACAAUUCAUUUUUUAAAUAGGGGAGUAGGGGGAAGAAGAAAUCGGAUACUGUGGAAUAUUUAUAGCUACAGACUAUGAAGGAGACUCCAGAGGAUAUUGGGCUGGUUUGUUCUAUGCUUCCAGACAGAAAAAUUAUUAGCAUUUCUGAGACAAAUGUAUUUCCAUUAUAUAGUAAAAGAUAUAAAUUAUCCCAGUACCUGUCAGUUAAGGUAUUUGUUAUUAAAAUUUUUGUUGCUUUAAUUUGACAAUAAAUUUCCUUUUGGAUCUUUCACAGAGUAUCUUAUUAUUAACAUAUUUCAUUUUUUUAGACUUAGUGUAUUGUAUCAUAAAUUCCAAAAAUUUCUUCUGGAGUUAUAUUCAAAAUAAUUUAUUAAAAGCAUUAAAAAUGGACUUCACAUUGUGGCGCAGUGGAAAUGAAUCUGACUAGGAACCAUGAGGUUGCGGGUUCGAUCCCUGGCCUGGCUCAGUGGGUUAAGGAUCUGGUGUUGCCAUGAGCCGUGGUGUAGGUUGCAGACGUGGCUAGGAUCCCGCAUUGCUGUGGCUCUGGCAUAGGCUGACAGCCAUAGCUCUAAUUAGACCCCUAGCCUGGGAACCUCUAUAUGCCUUGGGUGUGGCCCUAAGAAAAAA